GAUGAACGCUGGCGGCGUGCCUAAUACAUGCAAGUCGAGCGAACAGACGAGGAGCUUGCUCCUCUGACGUUAGCGGCGGACGGGUGAGUAACACGUGGAUCACCUACCUAUAAUACUGGGAUAACUUCGGGAAACCGGAGCUAAUACCGGAUAAUAUAUUGAACCGCGUGGGGCAAUGGUAAAAGACGGUGUUGCUGUCACUUAUAGAGGGAUCCGCGCCGCAUUAGCUAGUUGGUAAGGUAACGGCUUACCAAGGCAACGAUGCGUAGCCGACCUGAGAGGGUGAUCGGCCACACGAGAACGGAGCCACGGUCCAGACGACUACGGGAGGCAGCAGUAGGGAAUCUUACGCAAUGGGCGAAAGCCUGGCGGAGCAACGGCGCGUGAGUGAUGAAGGCCUUCGGAUCGUAAAACUCUGUUAUGAGGGAAGAACCAAUGUGUAAGUAACUAUGCACGUCUUGACGGUAACUAAUCAGAAAGCCACGGCUAACUACGUG
rnacentral:rRNA from 1 species